rnacentral:rRNA from 1 species
GACGAACGCUGGCGGCGUGCCUAAUACAUGCAAGUCGAGCGGAAGUUGGAGAGCUUGCUCUUCAACUUUAGCGGCGGACGGGUAAGUAACACGUGGGCAACCUGCCCUGCAGAUCGGGAUAACUCCGGGAAACCGGUGCUAAUACCGAAUAGUUUUCGCCACCUCCUGGUGGCGUACGGAAAGAUGGUUUCGGCUGUCACUGCAGGAUGGGCCCGCGGCGCAUUAGCUAGUUGGUGGGGUAACGGCCCACCAAGGCGACGGUGCGUAGCCGACCUGGGAGGGUGAUCGGCCACACUGGGACUGGGACACGGCCCAGACUCCUACGGGAGGCAGCAGUAGGGAAUCUUCCGCAAUGGACGAAAGUCUGACGGAGCAACGCCGCGUGAGUGACGAAGGUUUUCGGAUCGUAAAACUCUGUUGUGAGGGAAGAACAAGUACCAACUAACUACUGGUACCUUGACGGUACCUCACCAGAAAGCCACGGCUAACUACGUGCCAGCCGCCGCAGUAACAC